GACGAACGCUGGCGGCGUGCUUAACACAUGCAAGUCGAACGGAAAGGCCCUGCUUUUGUGGGGUGCUCGAGUGGCGAACGGGUGAGUAACACGUGAGUAACCUGCCCUUGACUUUGGGAUAACUUCAGGAAACUGGGGCUAAUACGGGAUAGGAGCUCCUGCUGCAUGGUGGGGGUUGGAAAUUUUGGGCGGUUGGGGAUUGACUCGCGGCUUAUAAGCUUGUUGGUGGGGUAGUGACCUACCAAGGCUUGGCCGGGUAGCCGGCCUGAGUGGGUGACCGGCAAAAUUGGGACUGAGAUACGGCCAAGCUCCCUCCGGGGGGAAGCAGUGGGGAAUAUUGAACAAUGGGCGGAAGCCUGAUGAAGCAACGCCGCGGGCGGGAUGACGGCCUCCGGGUUGUAAACCGCUUUCGCAUGUGACGAAGCGUGAGUGACGGUAAUGGGUAAAGAAGCACCGACUAACUACGUG
rnacentral:rRNA from 1 species